GACAUUACUGAUUUGCUUAAUUGCACCACAUGUGUUUUUCUUUGAAACAAACUUGCUUUGGCGGUGGGCGGGGCCCAGCCUGCCGCCAAGAGGUCUAAACUUGCAACCAAUUUUUUAUCAACUUGUCACACCAGAUUAUUACUAAUAGUCAAAACUUUCAACAACGGAUCUCUUGGUUCUCGCAUCGAUGAAGAACGCAGCGAAAUGCGAUACGUAAUAUGAAUUGCAGAUAUUCGUGAAUCAUCGAAUUUUUGAACGCACAUUGCGCCCUCUGGUAUUCCGGAGGGCAUGCCUGUUUGAGCGUCGUUUCUCCCUCAAACCGCUGGGUUUGGUGUUGAGCAAUACGACUUGGGUUUGCUUGAAAGACGGUAGUGGUAAGGCGGGAUCGCUUUGACAAUGGCUUAGGUCUAACCAAAAACAUUGCUUGCGGCGGUAACGUCUACCACGUAUAUCUUCAAACUUUGACCUCAAAUCCAGGUUGGACUUCCCGCUGAACUUAA
rnacentral:rRNA from 1 species